AGAGUUCGAUCCUGGCUCAGGAUGAACGCUGGCGGCGUGCCUAAUACAUGCAAGUCGAACGGUCAUAGCAAUAUGAUAGUGGCGACCGGGUGCGUAACACGUAGCUGACCUGCCCCUCUGCGGGGGACAACAGUUCGAAAGGACUGCUAAUACCGCAUACAUUUGGAGUGUUCAGAAAGCUUCAAAGAAACUUCAGGGGUGGAGGGAGGGAGCUGCGGCCCAUCAGGUAGUUGGUAGGGUAGAAGCCUACCAAGCCGACGACGGGUAGGGGGCCUGAGAGGGUGACCCCCCACACUGGAACAGACAGACGGUCCAGACUCCUACGGGAGGCAGCAGUAAGGGAUAUUGGGCAAUGGGCGAAAGCCUGACCCAGCAACGCCGCGUGGAGGAAGACAGUCUUCGGAUUGUAAACUCCUUUUGCAGGGGAAGAGGAAGGACGGUACCCUGCGAAUCAGUCUCGGCUAACUACGUGCCAGCAGCCGCGGUAAAACGUAGGAGGCGAGCGUUAUCCGGAUUUACUGGGCGUAAAGGGUGUGCAGGCGGGCCGUUAAGUGGUGCAUGAAAGCGAAGGGCUCAACCCUUCGAGGCUGUGCCAGACUGGCGGGCUAGAGUGCGGGAGAGGGCUGUGGAAUUCCGGGUGUAGUGGUGAAAUGCGUAGAGAUCCGGAGGAACACCAGAGGCGAAGGCGGCAGCCUGGUCCGCAACUGACGCUGAGACACGACAGCAUGGGGAGCGAACGGGAUUAGAAACCCCGGUAGUCCAUGCCGUAAACGAUGACUGCUGGGCGUCGGAUGGAUAACACCGUUCGGUGUCGAAGUAAACACGAUAAGCAGUCCGCCUGGGGAGUACGGUCGCAAGGCUAAAACUCAAAGGAAUUGACGGGGGCCCGCACAAGCAGCGGAGCGUGUGGUUUAAUUCGAGGCUACACGAAGAACCUUACCUGGGUUUGACAUGCCGGUAGUACCUUGAUGAAAGUCAAGGGACCUUCGGGAGCCGGCACAGGUGCUGCAUGGCUGUCGUCAGCUCGUGCCGUGAGGUGUUAGGUUAAGUCCUGUAACGAGCGCAACCCCCGGGGCCAGUUAGAAUGUCUGGUCCGACUGCCCGCGACAAGCGGGAGGAAGGCGGGGAUGACGUCAAGUCAGCAUGGCCUUUAUAUCCAGGGCUACACACACGCUACAAUGGUCGGUACAAUGGGUCGCCAACCCGUAAGGCGGAGCCAAUCCAAUCAAAGCCGGCCUCAGUUCAGAUUGUGGGCUGCAACCCGCCCACAUGAAGUUGGAGUUGCUAGUAACCGCGCGUCAGCCAUAGUGCGGUGAAUACGUUCCCGGGCCUUGUACACACCGCCCGUCACGUCAUGGGAGCUGGUCACGCCUGAAGUCGGGAAGCUAACCGCAAGGAGGCUACCGCCCAAGGCAGGGUCGGUGACUGGGACGAAGUCGUAACAAGGUA
rnacentral:rRNA from 1 species